UCUCUGUGAUGAACAAAUUAAAGAUGACGAGUCCGAUUUAAUUCCAUUCCAUUCUUGUGACGACAAAUCGAGGCAUUUGUCUGAGAGAA